rnacentral:tRNA from 1 species
GGGGGAGUAGCUCAGCUGGGAGAGCGCCGCGUUCGCAAUGCGGAGGUCGUGGGUUCAAGUCCCAUCUUCUCCA